UGAGCAAGGUGGCAUUGAGCAAAGUAGAGUCCCCAAAAUGUUCUAGCAUAUUUUUAAUAAAACCUAUCACCCUUUCACCCCGCCUGUUUAAAAUUUUAAAUCUCUGUCUUGCGGAGCCGCAUUACCCUGGUGGAAUGGUCUCAGCUACAGAGUUGAAAGGUUUCAGAUUGGAAACCCGAUUCCGCCAGAGGACUCUGUAUUAGCGGAUCUGGUGCACGUUAAAUCAGUAGCGCCAAACAUCCUCCCGAUGGUAUGGUGUAGAAGUUUGGAGAGGAAAUUCAGCUCAGGUGUUGUCCUCGUCAGCUGACCGAGGAUCAAAAUUUUCCCACCCUCCAGAUGGAAGAAAGAAGGCCGCAACUCGUUCUUGUCAACAAGCAGAUCGGAUGAUCCCCAAAUUACAACCACCAACCAAGUCAAAAACCUCUUUCAAAACCAGCUAUCGUCUCACCACCGAAUUCAUUACAGGUUCUUCCAAGAGGCAGCAUAAAAGCUCCACACGACUCUGGGGGAUAAUAUACGGUUCCUCCUCGGAAUAUAAAUCAAGACACUUGCGCCUCCAGGCCUCGAGCCAUCCGUUAAUUGUGUUCUGAAAGAAGAUGGUGGCUCUGCACAAACUGAUGGCUCAACCCAGAUUCGGCUUUCAAUUAAUGGGUCCACUCUGUCUGAUCUAUAGUAUAAUUAGAUCAGAUUUAUGCGAAAGCAAUGUGAGCCCCUCUCCAAAAAAUCGAGAUGUCUUUUCCUCGACUUCGUGGUAUGCGACCAGUGACAGGCUCGGGACAUUAGGGUGUAAGGCACGAUCCUGCUUUUCGCUCACCCUAAAAUAGCAAUUAAGGCAUCGGCUUGUUUUUCUGGAGGAAUGCUCGCAGUGCCAUCAUCUGUUAUGAUGAAUAUCAAUGAUAUCUUGCUUCCUGUGUUUGCUUGUUUUUGUAAUCACUUACGUGAAUAUCAAUAGGGUUCGCCGGCAGCUCGACUGGUUUGUUCUUGCUGGAAAGGAUGGAAUAUAUUUUACUUUUACUUGUGUUUCUGAAGGCAUUCCAUGGUAAGGCUGUUAAUCAAAUUAGCGUGGAGAAUAAAAAUGACAUAAAAAUGGAUGUAAUAAUAGUAUGAAGUCGUGAAAUUUAUUGUUUUCGAAAUAGAGAGUCAUAAAUUUGUUGCCAGAUUACUAGUUAUGUGAGCACGUGUAUUUUUAUUAUAAUAU